ACUAACUAUAAUUUUAGGAGUAGUCAACCACAGAUUACUCCUUAGGACCCAAGAUAACAGCUGUCCUCUAGAGAUCCAAACUAUCUAUCAAACUCUGAAAAUAAAUAACCAAAGAGCUCACAGAGGUAAUAGGCAAAAAGCCUAUUUCAUUGGAGAAGGAAAACUAGACAAGCCUGCCGGGGUCUGCCGUAGUACUGGAGGAGACCUACAAAAGUGAGGCUGAGGCUUGAUAUAUAUGGUAGUGACCAGACAAAGAAACAAGCAGUGAGCUGUAGCCACGGCAACAUAGGCUGUACUCCUGAAUCUCCUGGAUUUUCUCUACAAUGCCACAGAAGCUCACUCCAGCACUGGACUUCACACAUUCAAAGUAGCCUUGAUCCACUACACCUUGGAUUAGCUGGUUCCUUCAAGAACCUCCAUUUUAAGAGGGAUGCCCAGUCUACCCAUGUCUUCAUUCUUCUCCAGGUUGUGCUCCUGACUUCUCCCACCCCUCCUUCCAGAUUCCUUUUAUGUUGUAUUUUGUGCGUUGUUCUUUCUUAUUUAUUUUGUAGUUAGAUUUAUCUAGUUCUGAGAGGGAAAGGUUAAGAUCCCCCAUUAGUAUUGUUUUGCUAUCUAUUUCCUCUUAUAACUCAUUUGACUUCUCCUCUAAGAAUCUGGAUGCUAUAACACUUGGUGCAUAUGUUUAGUAUUGAUAUUACUUCAU